AAACAUCGUAAUAUAAUUGGCUAAUAUAUCCAUUUGCAAAAUGGAUAAUUAUCAGUUCGAAUCUGGUCGAUGUUUA
rnacentral:tRNA from 1 species